CAAGUCGAACGAGAAUCUGGAGGUUCAAGUUUCGGACAAGAACUUCGGAGGAAAGUGGCGGAAGGGUGAGUACAACAUGGAUAAUCUACCUUCAAGUUGGGUAUAGCUUCCGAAAGGGGAGAUAAUCCCGAAUGUGGUGAUCCGGCGCCUGUCGGAGAAUCCAAAGGUGGGGACCGCAAGGCCUGCCGCUUGAAGAUGAGUCCGUGCACUAUCAGCUAGUUGGUGAGGUAAUGGCUCACCAAGGCGAUGACGGUUAGCUGGUCUGAGAGGAUGGUCAGCCACACUGGGACUGAGAUACUGCCCAGACUCCUACGGGAGGCUGCAGUCGAGAAUCAUUCGCAAUGGGCGCAAGCCUGACGGUGCGACGUCGCGUGGAGGAUGAAGGUCUUCGGAUUGUAAACUCCUGUCAUGUGGGAUAAAUGGCCAGGGCAUGAAUAGUGCCUUGGAAUGAUAGUACCACAGGAGGAAGGGACGGCUAACUCUGUG
rnacentral:rRNA from 1 species